rnacentral:rRNA from 1 species
CCCGAACGGUGGAUCACUCGGCUCGCGGGCGGAU